UAAAUGAACUGAUGCCUAAAUAUGCCC
rnacentral:piRNA from 1 species